CUCUGCAGGAUGGACGGACACAGUGCCCGCCACAGUGGGCUCAGAGCAGGGACCGGGAGGGGCG
rnacentral:miRNA from 1 species